GCUGAAGCAGUAACACCAAAUCUCCGUUGCCUAGAACUCAUUUCGCAUGUGAAACUUCCAAGGAAUCAAUAUCUUUAUAGUUUAUAUGACGUACAAGGGUCAUGUGGACAAGAAAGAUGCUGUGAUCUAUGCAGAGAGCAUUGAAGAAUCUUCAAGCAUUAACAUGAAGCAGUCAUCUGAAAUUUCUAGAGAGAGUGACCUGCCAAGGGAGAAACCUCCUCUGACUAAAUCUUAAGCCUUUUUCCCUUCAGUCUUCGAAUUCUGAGAUUUCCUUCUUAAAUUCGUGGAGGAAUGCACUGCUCUUCCAGAAGGACUUGAGAUUUCCCUUCAUACGUAGCAGAUGUACAGUGUCAAUAUGCUUGAGACACAUCCUGGUCCUGGAAGAAACAUUCACAGGGUUUCUGGAUAGCCUCGCACGUUGCUGUGGAGGAUGAGGAUAAAUGGAAAAUUUUCCAGGCCCACUUAUGUCAGAGCGAAAAGAUAUGGGUGCAGAUAUUGGAUAUGCGAAUAAUGUUGUUGGUUUUCGACCUGGUCAAGUAGGUAAUUGUGGGAUUCUAAAGAAUCCACGGCCUCAAACACCCAUGCAUGGUUGGGGGCAUCCUCUCAGGGCCAACGCAGUCCUUGGUCCUCAGGGAGUGUUAUGAAGAAAUAACUCCAAAUCGGAUAGAUGGCAGUGGGGAACUGCUUUCCAGAAAGGUUUGAUGCCUUCUCCUCAGACACCAACCCCAGUUAUGCACCUAGCUGAGAAGAAGUAAGUGGGUAAGGUUACUGAUGAUGAAGAAGAGGAACAGAUGCAGUUGAAGAGCAUAUUGAACAAACUCACAUCUCAAAAAUUUGAGAAACUGUUCCAGCAAGUUCAGCAAGUCAAUGUCGAUAAUGUAGUUACACUGUCUGGGGUCAUCUUGCAGAUUUUGGAUAAAGCUCUGAUGGAGCAUACCUUCUUGUUGCACCGUACUGCGGUCUUGCCUGAAUUGACACUUUCAAGAGAUUACUCUUGAAGAAAUGGCAGGAAGAAUUUAAGUGAGGAGAAAGAGAAGAACAAGAGGGGAGAAAGAGAAGAACAGGAGGCAAAUGAAGCUGAUGAAGGUGAUAGUAAACAGACAGAAGAAGAGACUGAGUGUUGGGUAAUAUUAGACUAAUUGGAGAAUUAUACAAGAAGAUGUUGACUGAAAGAAUAAUGCACGGAUGUAUUGGUAAAAUGUUUGGUCAGUAUCAGAGUACUGGUGAAGAAAACAUAGAAGCUCUGUGAAAAUUAAUGAGCAGAAUUGGUGUAAUGAUAGAUCAUCCGAAAGCGAAGGACCACAUGAAUGCUUAUUUUGACAUCAUUACACAACCAUCCAAUAAUAUGAAGCUGUAAGAUUCAUGCUGAGAGAUUCUAUUGAUCUGAGAAAGAAUAAGUGGCAGCAGCGGGGAAAAGUCUAAGGUCCGAAAAAGAUUGAGGAGGUACACAGAGAUGCUGCGCAAGAAUGGCAAGCUCAAACUAGCUGACUUGGUCGUUUCAAUCAGAAAGGGUCUGUCUAUGUAUUUUGCUCCUAGAACUCCUAGUAUGUUAUCUCCUCCAGGUCACAGAUCAGCAGAUUUUGUCCUGGUGGGCACAGCUGCGUGGCCAUGGCUCCCAGGAUGCUCAGAUGGAUGAGAGACAUUCCUAUGAGAACAGGAUGAUGUACAUUCCUCUGCCUCAAAGACCCAUUGGUCAUGAUUCCAUAACCCUUGGGCCACAAGGUGGCCUUGUCCGAGGAAUGGCAUUCGGUAGUCAACCAUCUGCAUAUGCCUCUCGUAUGGCUGAGAUAUCAAGUCCUGGAGAUGAACACAGGGUGGGACCUGGUCUAAAUGGAUUCAGUUCUAUUCCAGAACGGGCAGCUUAUGGCCAAAGAGAGGAUCCCAUGCCAAGAUAUGUGUCAGAAAGUUUUGGUGCUCCAUCCAGCUAUGACCGAUUGGUGAAAGGAAUGUUACACAUGGGAAUAGAAACACCAACCGCAUUGAUGAAUCUCUUCCUGCUUCUCCACCUGCUCGUGGUUCCGCUCCUCCAACUAGCACAGAAAAUAUGUGGCCUGAAGAGCACUUGCAGGACAAAUCAAUGACCACUAUUAAAGACUUCUACUGGUUUUUAUGUGCCCCCGGUCAGGAGGUUUGUUGUUUCAUUAUGUUUUUAUCAACCAGUUCCACUACCCUUGUUUUUAUUGAUUAUUAAGUUGGUUGAACUAAACGAUAGAUUUCUCAUUGAAAUUUUGAAGCGAGGUUGAAUAAUAAAUAUUCCAUUAGACACCUACAAAGACCAGGCUCAUUGUUGUAACUACAUUUCAUACUUCCCGUCACAUCUUGACUAUAUAAUUUGUUGAGAGGUGGCAUAUGGAUCAGCAGUUGGCAAGAAAAAGAAAUGAAUCAAAUUUUGUGUCGAAACUCUUCUGGUUUGACUUGAGCUAGGGAAAGAUUUAGAUUACUGCUUAUUGUAAAACACUUCUGGAGGUCUUUUUGCGUGUUCUUGACUCCUCGCCAGACCUCACUCCUUUGAAUCUUUCUUGGUGUUAAAAGCCAUGAGGAGAAACAAGGAUAAAUGAUUUUCUGAUGUCUUAUACCUGGCUGCGAACAAUAAUAGAGACAUUGAGGAGGUCUCAGCUUCUAAUGUUUUCGCGAAGAAGGUACAAUCAGUGGGAUAUUCUAGGGGGUAAUCCAUGGAUCUCAUGCUUUUAAAUGUGGGGAUAACAUUCAACUCUUGUUCCGGGAACAGGAGCUUUGGCCAUCCUGGCCACUUUGCUGUCUCUGUAUACUAGUCCCGAGAAGAUGUUAUAACUAGUCCAUUUCAUGCUAUAAAACAGUUCUCAUCGCGAUGAUUAGCUAGGCAUAUCCCACUUUGAUAGCUAUAGUUAGCAGGUUGAGGAGCGUUCUAGUCCGAUUGAAGAACUACUUGAGGCAGACGAAGUUUUCUGCACCGGAACUGCAGUUGGUGUUGCUCCUGUAGAAGUAUUACAUAUACCUAGGGUAACAGGUAAAAGUUCUAACUCCCAAAGCUGCAGUGCGUUUUCAUCUUUUUGUAGCUGACACUGUCCCGUUUCUUUGAACCCGAUAAGCUUUUGAGUACCUGGAUACCUGAGUAGGGUAUCAGGCCCCGAAAAAUCCGGUUCCCAAAUUGCCGAAUUUUUUAAAAAACAUUGAAAUGUCCUUUCCUGUUGAAUAAUGCUGUACAAAAAAUUAUUGUAUUGGAUGACUAGCAUUGAUGAUGAGCGAAAACUAAAAGCAUAAUGUUGUUGAAUAAUAUAGUACACAAUUCAAAUUAUGUGUGCGGGUUUGGUACCCGCAACUGCGGGUUUGGGAUACCCGAUGCGGAUAUGGGGUUACCCGUUUAACUAUACGGGUCGGGAUUGGGUAUUAUAAUAUUGAAGUUUUCGAGUACGGGUACCCGUUUCGAUACCCCUAGUUUCUUUACUAACGUCAGAAUCACGGUACAUGAGUUUAUUGGUAAUAACUUUUUCCUUUGGUUGGAGAUUCAAGUUACUUAGAAAAAUAGUACUCCUACUAGGGAUGUCAAUCUAACCCGAAACUCACGGGUCAACCCGAGUUACCCGGUAAAAUCAUAGGGUUAGGGCCGGAAAAUUGCAACCCAUAUUCAGAAGCGGGCUACAUAGGCUAACCCGUUCGGGUCGGCGGGUUAUACGGACUGGCCCGGGUGGGUUGUGGGUUAGCCCACAGGUUGAGCAUUUAAUAUAAAAUAUUAUUAAAUUUUUGGAUUAUAUAC